GGAAGUUAAAGUCGUAACAAGGUUUCCGUAGGUGAACCUGCGGAAGGAUCAUUAUUGUAUAACCGAGGUGCGAGGGCUGUCGCUGACCCAAAAGGUCGUGCACGCCCGAGUGCCCUCACACACAUCCAUCUCACCCCUAUGUGCACCACCGCGUGGGUCCCCCUUUGGCUUGUUCGGAGGGGGGCUUACGUUUUCACACAAACUUUGUAUGCAGUGUAGAAUGUAUUUUUUGUUUUUGCGAUCACGCAAUCAAUACAACUUUCAACAACGGAUCUCUUGGCUCUC
rnacentral:misc_RNA from 1 species